GCGGUGGAGCAUGUGGUUUAAUUCGAAGCAACGCGAAGAACCUUACCAGGUCUUGACAUCCCCUGACAACCCGAGAGAUCGGGCGUUCCCCUUCGGGGGACAGGGUGACAGGUGGUGCAUGGUUGUCGUCAGCUCGUGUCGUGAGAUGUUGGGUUAAGUCCCGCAACGAGCGCAACCCUCGACCUUAGUUGCCAGCAUUCAGUUGGGCACUCUAAGGUGACUGCCGGCUAAAAGUCGGAGGAAGUGGGGAUGACGUCAAAUCAUCAUGCCCCUUAUGACCUGGGCUACACACGUGCUACAAUGGGCGGUACAAAGGGUCGCGAACCCGCGAGGGGGAGCCAAUCCCAAAAAGCCGCUCUCAGUUCGGAUUGCAGGCUGCAACUCGCCUGCAUGAAGCCGGAAUCGCUAGUAAUCGCGGAUCAGCAUGCCGCGGUGAAUACGUUCCCGGGCCUU
rnacentral:rRNA from 1 species